UGUUCACAGAAAAUACACCACAGUGGAUCUGACAGCCAGAAUCAAGACUGCUGUAUCCCCAUGGCCCCACAGACAACAAGUACUGUGGUACUGUGGC
rnacentral:lncRNA from 1 species